CCGGUCGAUACAGAAGUUGAAAGUGAAUCAACGCGGUGGUCAAGAAGCUAAACAGGAGAAUCUUGGAAAAUGACGAGCCCCCGUACAAUAUGAUCGGGUUGACGGAUAUCAACGUAGAUUCAAAACCACGGUUGACAAGAUGUCAAUCGUCCUUUUACGCCAGCAUAAAAUAGCACUUGCAAAUGUAUCAGUUGUAAGAUUGUUCGCUGCACCGUAUGUGCCUCUUUUCAUUGAUUGGACAGUCUGCAUUCCCUAAUCUUCUACUUUCGAGAUUUCCUCAAAACCCUUUUCCAUCUCUCUCUCUCUCUCUCUCUCCCUUUCGCUCUCUCUCUCUCCCACCCUCUCUCUCUCCCUCUCGCUCACUGCUGACGUUUAAAAUCGCCACAGAAUUCACCUCCCGGCUGUGAUGUUAACUUGCUCAGGAUGUGCGGCUCGCGCGCCUGUUUGAUGCCUGAUUUUACUCUGCAUCCCCACCAAUGGGGAUCUCAAUUGUUUGGAAUGCAAUUUGAGGCAACCAGCCGGAACAUGGUAACGGUGGCUACGGGCAGAUGAGGUUGAAAUCGGCGAUACGUUUUACCUCACGUUUUAAACAUGUUGGAAGUUAUUUAGCAUCUGCUUAUCUGCUAUUCCAUUCAGGCUACAGUUUGCAGUUAAUGAACUUAAAUUACCAAAGACAUCUAAAACGUACCCAUUAAGACGUUUCCAACGUAGGUUGCUUCCUUGGUUUCGUUUCAUUUGGAGAGAUGGGCUAUUAUUACCUAUGUAUUUCACCUGACUGUACCAGCUGUGCUGAUGCCCCUUCUGCCGGCAUUUCACACUCCAGCCUCUGUCCAUUGAACUUGAAGUGGUGUAAUCGGUUGGGACGUGUAUCAGUAGUUUUCAAAUGGACAAAUGUAGCUAUGAGCGCCCUUUCAGAGCAUGGUGGGAAAUAUAACCAGUGGGUAGGCAUGAUGGGUAGGUAGCCAGUACUACGGGAACCAGCUGAUGAUCAUAAGCCAUGAACUCAGUGGCCUUCACAAGGCCUUACGGAGACAAGGGAACAGGCAGGGAGUCAUUAGACCCAAGGCAUGAACCAACCUCCAGAGACCAGCGCGGGAUUAGAGAGGACAACUGCAGCACAAGGCAUCCCUGUCAUAGAGUAAUUUACGUGAAAUAUGUGCUCAAGAAACAGCAGCGAUCGAAGACUACAGCAAGCAGCCUUUUGCUAUGUGAGAACCAAGGGCUAUUAAAUUGUGACACAGACUUUGAAUUCCAUUGGAAAGCAACCAGGGUGAUCUCUUCCUCGCAUGUGCUUGAAUGAAACUUUGCUUACUGGAACUCUCAGACUUGAGUGGGGCCUUACUCUACAACAGACCAAUCAGCGGUUGAGUUUCUGAUUGCUGGAACGCCGCGGCGGUUGUUCCCUUAUGCUAGUGUCGGGAAAGGUCUGGGAUGAAAUGCACAAAAACCAGGUGAAACGAACAUGCUACAGGAAAUCACCACCACGCGCCUGUCCGUCACAAGGGAAUAGAUUGAAUUAGCUAUUAAUUUCUAAAAUGGGUGAGCCGCCCGCUCGGGCGAUAUUUUUCAUCGCUUUGUGAGGAAUUUAAUUCGUUGUUGAGUACUGCUGAAAAAUCAGUUACACUAUGGAAGCUUUUAGCCCUGCAUUCAUCAGGACACUUUCACAAGAAUACCAAGUUGUAAAGGGAGCAGCAAAUGAUACUGCAUGGAGGAGGCGCUGGCACAUUUUUGAACUCGUUCAUGGGGUUUGAUUGAUCCCUAAUUGCCUUAGUUCACAGGGCAUCUAAGAGUCAAAAACGUUGCUGUGGGCCUAGAGUCACAUGGAGGGCAGACCAGGUAAGGACAGCAAUGUAUUUUUACAGCAAUCGUUUAAUCUGAUAUAUUUAAAAUUGAAUUCAAGGCGCCCCCCUCAUAGAUUAAGCCAAGGAUUGGACCCCGAGUCCGCAGAGGAUUAUGCUGGGUCCCUGAUAUAGCCACAAUGGAACUACGCCACCAUCGCCACGUUUCUGAGGUUGGAUAUCCAAAGGCCCAGGACAAUGCUCUGGAUACCCGCAGGUGGUGGGAUUUGAAUCGAUUCAGCAAAAAUCGGAUUACCAUGAAAUCUUGUCGACAUCGAAGAAACCAUUGUCGAUUGCUCUAAAAACCAGCUCUUUCGCUUAUGCUCUCAGCUGGUCUUACCUACCUGUGAUUCCAGACCGAAAGCUACGUGGUUGACUUUUAAAUGUCCCCUGAAACGGUCCAGCGCGCACACCUGUGGUAUCACACCGCUAGAAAUUCCAUAAGACACGCAGGCAGUGGUGGUGUGCUUACAUCACAUGGAAUGCAUUGCUUUAAGAAGACAGCUCACCACCACCUUCUCACGGUCGAUUAGGGAUGGGCAAUGGGUUUGGCCGAGCCAACAAUACCCACGUCCCGUGAUUGAAGAAUAACACAUGAGAAGACCGUGCCGAUUGUUUGCCAAGUGGGCUGAGACUGAUAGAGGCGUCGCCAUGGAGAUGCCAGUGGGGGAUAGUUAACUGCCAAGCCAUUCUUUAAGUCCAAGACAGGCAAAAUGAAAUGAUUCCGCAUCAUGUCUCUUUCUUAAGCAAAUGACAAGCUCUGUAAUGCCAAGCGACCUUCAUUACUCUGGGUUCCAUCUUGAUUGCAUUGAAAACUAUGAAUUCUCGCAAUAUAUUU